rnacentral:misc_RNA from 1 species
UUGAUUCAUUUGCUUGUUUUCACUCAGAGCAAUGCAUCCUGCAAAUACAAGAGUUUGGGUCCUCCGGCGGGCGCCGGGGGCGGUCCGCCGAGGCAACGACGCUGUAAGGUUCACAGUGGGUUUGGGAGUUGUAAACUCUGUAAUGAUCCCUCCGCUGGUUCACCAACGGAGA